AUGAAGAUCAGACAUUGGUCAAUGUUUUUGUUUUACACCAACUUCACGGGGACGCCUCAGCAGAGAAAUUAUGGGAAUCCUCAUGCCAACACAUCAGACCAACAACUACAGGAUGGGAAUGAUGCCAUAAACUAUGCUGUCCUGAAGUUCACUGACAAGAAUAGUACCACGCCAGGAGACAGAGGAGAGAACGGAGAGAACAGAGAGAGGAAGAAACCAUCUACUCAGGUGUGAGUCAUCAAGACAGGGUGUAACAGAGUAGGGUCAUCCAAUCAGCAUCAUUCUAAGUUAAGCCCCACCCCUCCUCUGAACUCCAAUUUGAUCUUGACAUUGUCCUUGUGACCUGGCUAUUUUGUACACUUCUGAUUUACUGUAGGAUGUCAUUGCAGGGGCUCUAAUUUUGCUGAAUAUAUGCAGUACCAGUCAAACGUUUGGACACAACUACUCAUUCAAUGUUUUUUCUUUAUUUUUACUCUUUUCUACAUUGUAGAAUAAUAGUGAAGACAUCAAAACCAGUUCUAACCAAAAGAAUGUUAAACAAAUAAAAAUAUAUUUUAUAUUUGAGAUUCUUCAAAGUAGACACCCAGUAUCUCUACCGCUGCUGUCUCUAGAGAGUUGAAAACAGCAGGUCUGGGACAGGUAGCACGUUCAGUGAACAGGUCAGGGUCCCAUAGCCACAGGCAGAGCAGUUGAAACUGGAGCAGCAGCACGACCAGGUGGACUGGGGACAGCAAGGAGUCAUCAGGCCAGUUAGUCCUGCUACAGAGAGAAAAGAAAGAAAGAAAGAAAGAAAGAGAGGAAGAAAGAGAGGAAGAAAGAGAGGAAGAAAGAGAGAGAAAAAGAGAGAGAGAAUUAGAGAGAGCAUGCUUAAAUUCACACAGGACACAAGAUAAGACAGGGAGAAAUACUCCAAAUAUUACAGACUGACCCUAGCCACCUGACACAUAAACUAUUGUAGCAUAAAUACUGGAGGCUGAGACAGGAGGGGUUGGGAGACACUGUGGCCCCGUCCGACGAUACCCCCGGACAGGGUCAAACAGGACAUAUGUACCAGUAGUCUCAGCCACCGACCCAAAUGAUGAAAAAAUACAAACCAUUAACUCUGACUUUAUAGUAUUUUAAGACAUACAGUGCAUUCGGGAAGUAUUCAGACCCCUUGACUUUUUCCACAUUUUGUUACAUUACAUUCUUAUUAAAAAUGUUGUUUUAAUAAAUGUUUUCCUCAUCAAUCUAAACACAAUACCCCAUAAUGACAAAGUGAAAACCGGUUUUUGGAAGAAAAAAAUAAUAAUUCUUACAAAUAAAAAACUGUGAUACAUUAUUUACAUAGGUAUUCAGACCCUUUGCCAUGAGACUUGAAAUUGAGCUCAGGUCCAUCCUGUUUCAUUGAGAUGUUUCUAGAAAUUGAUUGGAGUCCACCUGUGGUAAUUGCAAUUGAUUGGGCAUGAUUUGGAAAGGCACACACCUGUCUAUAAAAAGGUCCCACAGUUGACAGUGCAGAGCAAAUAUCUAGCCAUGAGGUCGAAGGAAUUGUCCGUAGAGCUACGAGACAGGAUUGUGUCGAGGAACAGAUCUGGGGAAGGGUACCAAAAUAUUUCUGCAGCAUUGAAGGUCCCCAAGAACACAGUGGCCUCCAUCAGUCUUAAAUGGAAAAUGUUUGGAACCCCCAAGACUCUUCCUAGAGCUGAGCAAUCAGGGGAA
rnacentral:lncRNA from 1 species